rnacentral:rRNA from 1 species
UGGGGAAUAUUGCACAAUGGAGGGAACUCUGAUGCAGCGACGCCGCGUGAACGAAGAAGGCUUUCGAGUCGUAAAGUUCUUUUAUAUGGGAAGAUAAUGACGGUACCAUAAGAAAAAGCCCCGGCUAACUACGUGCCAGCAGCCGCGGUAAUACGUAGGGGGCUAGCGUUGUCCGGAAUCACUGGGCGUAAAGGGUUCGCAGGCGGAAAUGCAAGUCAGGUGUAAAAGGCAGUAGCUUAACUACUGUAAGCAUUUGAAACUGCAUAUCUUGAGAAGAGUAGAGGUAAGUGGAAUUUUUAGUGUAGCGGUGAAAUGCGUAGAUAUUAAAAAGAAUACCGGUGGCGAAGGCGGCUUACUGGGCUCAUUCUGACGCUGAGGAACGAAAGCGUGGGUAGCAGACAGG